GUGGGGAAUUUUGCGCAAUGGGGGAAACCCUGACGCAGCGACGCCGCGUGGAGGACGAAGGCCUUCGGGUUGUAAACUCCUUUUGGAGGGGACGAUAAUGACGGUACCCUUCGAAUAAGCCACGGCUAACUCUGUGCCAGCAGCCGCGGUAAGACAGAGGUGGCAAGCGUUGUUCGGAAUUACUGGGCUUAAAGGGCGCGUAGGCGGCAGCGCAAGUCCGAUGUGGAAGCCCGCGGCUUAACCGCGGAAUUGCAUUGGAAACUGCGUCGCUUGAGUCAGCGAGGGGAGGGCGGAAUUCCCGGUGUAGCAGUGAAAUGCGUAGAUAUCGGGAGGAAGGCCGGUGGCGAAGGCGGCCCUCUGGCGCUUGACUGACGCUGAGGCGCGAAAGCGUGGGGAGCAAACAGGAUUAGAUACCCGAGUAGUCC
rnacentral:rRNA from 1 species